UACGAAGGACCCGAGCGUUAUCCGGAUUUAUUGGGUUUAAAGGGUGCGUAGGCGGAUUUAUAAGUCAGUGGUGAAAGCCUAUAGCUUAACUAUAGAAUUGCCAUUGAUACUGUAAGUCUUGAGUACAGUUGAGGUGGGCGGAAUGUGCAGUGUAGCGGUGAAAUGCUUAGAUAUUGCACAGAACACCUAUUGCGAAGGCAGCUCGCUAAGCUGUAACUGACGCUGAGGCACGAAAGUGUGGGUAGCAAACAGG
rnacentral:rRNA from 1 species